rnacentral:rRNA from 1 species
CACAGGUUGUGAACUCGAAGAGUAGGGCGGGACACGUGGUAUCCUGUCUGAAUAUGGGGGGACCAUCCUCCAAGGCUAAAUACUCCUGACUGACCGAUAGUGAACCAGUACCGUGAGGGAAAGGCGAAAAGAACCCCGGCGAGGGGAGUGAAAAAGAACCUGAAACCGUGUACGUACAAGCAGUGGGAGCACCUUCGGGUGUGACUGCGUACCUUUUGUAUAAUGGGUCAGCGACUUAUAUUCUGUAGCAAGGUUAACCGUAUAGGGGAGCCGAAGGGAAACCGAGUCUUAACUGGGCGUUAAGUUGCAGGGUAUAGACCCGAAACCCGGUGAUCUAGCCAUGGGCAGGUUGAAGGUUGGGUAACACUAACUGGAGGACCGAACCGACUAAUGUUGAAAAAUUAGCGGAUGACUUGUGGCUGGGGGUGAAAGGCCAAUCAAACCGGGAGAUAGCUGGUUCUCCCCGAAAGCUAUUUAGGUAGCGCCUCGUGAACUCAUCUUCGGGGGUAGAGCACUGUUUCGGCUAGGGGGCCAUCCCGGCUUACCAACCCGAUGCAAACUACGAAUACCGAAGAAUGUUAUCACGGGAGACACACGGCGGGUGCUAACGUCCGUCGUGAAGAGGGAAACAACCCAGACCGCCAGCUAAGGUCCCAAAGUCAUGGUUAAGUGGGAAACGAUGUGGGAAGGCACAGACAGCCAGGAUGUUGGCUUAGAAGCAGCCAUCAUUUAAAGAAAGCGUAAUAGCUCACUGGUCGAGUCGGCCUGCGCGGAAGAUGUAACGGGGCUAAACCAUGCACCGAAGCUGCGGCAGCGACACUAUGUGUUGUUGGGUAGGGGAGCGUUCUGUAAGCCGUUGAAGGUGGCCUGUGAGGGUUGCUGGAGGUAUCAGAAGUGCGAAUGCUGACAUAAGUAACGAUAAAGCGGGUGAAAAGCCCGCUCGCCGGAAGACCAAGGGUUCCUGUCCAACGUUAAUCGGGGCAGGGUGAGUCGACCCCUAAGGCGAGGCCGAAAGGCGUAGUCGAUGGGAAACAGGUUAAUAUUCCUGUACUUGGUGUUACUGCGAAGGGGGGACGGAGAAGGCUAUGUUAGCCGGGCGACGGUUGUCCCGGUUUAAGCAUGUAGGCGGAGGUUCCAGGUAAAUCCGGUACCUUUUAACGCUGAGGUGUGAUGACGAGGCACUACGGUGCUGAAGUAACAAAUGCCCUGCUUCCAGGAAAAGCCUCUAAGCAUCAGGUAACAUCAAAUCGUACCCCAAACCGACACAGGUGGUCAGGUAGAGAAUACCAAGGCGCUUGAGAGAACUCGGGUGAAGGAACUAGGCAAAAUGGUGCCGUAACUUCGGGAGAAGGCACGCUGAUAUGUAGGUGAAGCCCCUGCGGGUGGAGCUGAAAUCAGUCGAAGAUACCAGCUGGCUGCAACUGUUUAUUAAAAACACAGCACUGUGCAAACACGAAAGUGGACGUAUACGGUGUGACGCCUGCCCGGUGCCGGAAGGUUAAUUGAUGGGGUUAGCGGCAACGCGAAGCUCUUGAUCGAAGCCCCGGUAAACGGCGGCCGUAACUAUAACGGUCCUAAGGUAGCGAAAUUCCUUGUCGGGUAAGUUCCGACCUGCACGAAUGGCGUAAUGAUGGCCAGGCUGUCUCCACCCGAGACUCAGUGAAAUUGAACUCGCUGUGAAGAUGCAGUGUACCCGCGGCAAGACGGAAAGACCCCGUGAACCUUUACUAUAGCUUGACACUGAACACUGGUCCUUGAUGUGUAGGAUAGGUGGGAGGCUUUGAAGUGUGGACGCCAGUCUGCAUGGAGCCGUCCUUGAAAUACCACCCUUUAAUGGCUGGUGUUCUAACGUAGACCCGU